rnacentral:lncRNA from 1 species
CGGUGACAGGGGGGAAGGGCGGUGGUAAGACGUCCUGCCUCCCUUUACCCUGACAGUAUUUUCAGAGGCAGUCGGAGAAGCGGGCCUUGGAGAGACACCUACACACCUCCGGGUCGCCCUCUUGGGUCCUGGCACUCUACGGGUCUCUUCGACCACAAAACUGAAAUCUAAUCUGCAGCUGCCGCCGCGCCCCCGCUUCCCGCCCGCGUCCCGCCCGAAGCCCCAGGCACCCGGGUCAUCGAAGUCUGUUCCCUGGCGCGGCUCGGAAGGCCUUGCGGUCCAGCUGGGGAGACACGCUGGCCCAGGCGCCUGCACUCAAGACGGCCCCCCGCACGCGCCGCUGGGGACCUGGGCGGCUGCCUGGUGGCGGGUCCGGCUCGGCCCGGGUGCGGCUUUCUAGCUGUGCCUCCCGAAAAGCUCGAUGGCCUGGGCUGUAGAUGUGUCCUCCAAGGGAGUCUCAGCUGGCAGGCGAAGCCCUCCCACCACACCCGUUCUCACCCUCUCGCGGGCCUCUGCGUCUUCACUCUGGAGCGGCCAUAUACCUUGAGUGGGUCAUCCCUGCUGCCUCCUACUGCCUCUCGAAGCCCGGGGUUUGAACAUUAACCGGACAGAGCUAUAGAGUAGGGUAAAACGUUACAUAUAAAAAUGAAUCAUCUAUCCGAUCCUGGGAGCGAUGACCUAUAGCCAGCUCGGCGUUUUCAGCAGCCCCAGCAGUGUUACUACCCCAAGUUUCUUCUGACCCGCCACUUCCCAGGGACCAUUCAGCUGCGCUGAGGACAGGUUGAGGUUGGAGGGUCGAGGGUUAAUGAGCCAACCUUGUCCUUGAGGAGUCUGUGGUUAAGGACUACUAACACAAGCCAAUGUCCUUUCUCUCAUAUUUGAGAAAUAUCUAGAACACAUUUUUGUCUCUUAUUAAACGUUGGUGGGGACAGCUGUAAUCUAGGAGGAACCCCUGCCGUCAGAGCCAAAGAAGUGCUGCACCUCUGGAUUACAGGGUGGAAUCCUAGAAAACAGGGCUAGGUGGGUAGGAAGUGGCAAUAGAAGCCUAAGGACCCAGGACUGGAGAGGCGGGGGAGGUGCGCUGUGGGUGGCUCAACGGGCACUGGACCUGGCCCUGAGGCUGAGGCCAAGCACAAGCCCUGGCCUGUGGACCACGAUGAAAUCCCAGGCUCUGGUUGGACCCCACCUCUCAUUCCACUCGCCUGGAUAGUCUUUUGCUGACUCUGACUUAUGUGAUUCUUUCAACAUAAAUAAUCGAAAGUCACAAUGUUACUUCUGCACUAAUUUAUGCACUACUGGGCUCAGCCAAAUGCAUGCUAUUUGCAAAAGAUAACAGAACUAAAGGAAGAAUUAAAGACUAUGCACCUCCUGAGUUUUUGUGCCCUCACCUGGAAACUUUAGUGACUCAGGCACUCAACAAAUUCCUGAAUAGGAAGGUGACUCCUUUACUCUAGCUCUGUUGUUCUCCCUCUUCCUAAUCCUUACUUCCCCUCCCCCAUUAAAAAAAAGUGAGAUAAGGUGGGUACAAGCCAGAUAUGUAAUGCUGUAUAGCUCUCUCAUUUGUUGCCAACAAACUCCAGAAAAUUCUUGUACCUCUUAGGAAAAUUGGUUCAUUUAUUAUGCAAAAUAGUUGUUUAUGUAAAAUUCAGUGCCUUGCCUGUAGUAACCUCUCAGUGAUUCCCUGCUCCCCCCAGAUAUUACCCUGAAUGUCUACAAGGUUUUUCAGAGACUCACUCAGCAGGCAUCAAGCCUGGGUUGAAUACCAUGUACUAGUAUUAAUUGAACAUCACCAUUCUGCUAGUUCCUAGAGAAUACAGCUUCAGUUCAAGAUGUGAUUACAGAGUGUUCAUCACUUCACAUAGUGUCACAACUCUAACUUUGUGCAUAUGAUGUGCUAUGUCAUCCCCCUAGAGCAGUUAUAGCCCAUCUUUUUUUUAUCCCACUCCCCCAAGAAAAACAGAAUUGACUCAAUGUUCCACCAGUUUGCUCCAGAGAAACAAUGAACACAUCAAAGCAAAUAAAUAAAAAAGAGGCAUGAAUCACACACUCAGUUGCCCUUCAGUAACUUAGAGACACAAGGAAGCAUAAGUGGGGAAAGAGUAUUUACUUUUAAAGGUGCCCAUGGUUGGGGAAGGGAGUAUUAUAAAGAGUAUGUAUGGCAGCACUCAAAUUGUCUUCUUCCCCACCAAACUACCAUGUUAUCUGACACCCUCAAUCUAUUUGUGUCCUGGGUAACAGACGGUUUGACUAAGAGGUCACAGACUAGAGGGCUUGGGUGACUGGAAACAAGUUUGACAAGGAAGGAAUCUGGGUGGGGUGCCACCCUGGAGGUGGAGAGAGGAUGAGGCCACAGUGGCUGGAGCAACUUGGCAACCCCAAGCCUCUGCUGGACCCUGCAUUUACAUGAGAUGCAUUGUCAGAGAUUGGGGGAUCAAGAAUAGCUGCCAACACAACUGCAUGGAUCAGAGAAAUUAAGUCUGUCUACAUCUCUUUUUUUUCCUUUAUAUUCUACUUCCUUUAUUUUCUCCUUUUCUUCUUGCUCUUAUUCCAUCUCAGUAGGCUUUCUCCAGAAUCCUAGCUACUCCCUCUGCUUGAUCUCUCUUUUAAUUUAAGUCUUCAGAUUGUCUUUCAUAUAUAAAAGUUGUUCCAUACAAACAAGAAUCGACCUAUAAACCAUUCGUACUCAUAAAUAUGGAGUGCUUAUAUGAAUCAUAAAGGUUUUAGGACCAAUAAGUAUAGCAUACAAAACUAGAAACUGGCUUUUCAGAACAAAAGAGGGACCGGGUGUGUGUUUUUUAAUAAAACCCCACUGCAUGCUGGAUAUUCCAGAGGGUUGAGGAACAUACUCCUUUUACCCCAGAUAGCAUGACUUUUUGCAUUGUGGUCCCCCCUAAAAUGAAACCUCUCUGUUCAGUUUAUCUUUCUUACCUUGGAAGCUCCUCCCCUGAUGAAACUGCCACCUGUGAACUUGCACACAUUGCCUAAAUUAUGUGUUCAGGGAAAAUAAAGAGCAGUCCUUUUAUAGAGUUUAUGUGUUAAUGAGUUCAUCUCUGCAUCUUUUCAUACAAAGGUCCUUGUUUUUCUUGUGCUUUAUCCUUUUGUUCUUGACUCAGCAGUAUUUUAGGGUGAUUUUUCUUUUUGUUUUGUGUAAUUAGAAAACACUUUCAUUUUCAUCCUGCAAAUCUUUUAGACUAGAAAGAUUGAAAGAUCAUUAUUUCUUCUGCAGAAGAGCUGCUCCAUUCCAUUCUCCUUUGCACCUCUCUUUUCCUUUAGGACUUCUUCCAAAAUCUCCUUAAGGUAAUUCUAAUUUCACAAUUCUCUCCCCUUUUAAUUUUUAAACUUCAUUUCUGAGUGCCCUUGUUGCCAUACUCCACAGCUAAAUUUGUUUGAAUUACUCCGCCGUCAAUUAUCAAAGAGGGUGUUUUACUAUGAAUUAAGUUGUUGGGGUCUUUUUUAGCUUCUUAUGGGAGCCUGGCACAAUACCUGGUAAAAUAUUAGAUGUUCAAUAAAUGCCUAUUGAUCAAAUGAUAUAAUUAAAACCUUUGUUCACAAAAAUACUAGUUCAAAGACAUUGAAAUCUAUUGAAUUGGCAUGUAUUAAAUCUCAGAUUAGUUCUAAUUAAUUUCUAAUCCUUUUCUCAACAAAUCAGACAUGUAAAAGAAUUCUAUAGCAGAAAUUCCAUCUUGAUCUUUUUUUCAUCAUCUUCACUAUGUCAGAGGAUUUUAAGGAUAAAUCAUGAUCACUGUUCAAAAAGAUAUUGGACAAAUUUUAAUAUUUUAAUAUAGUUAUAUUAAAAUAAAGAAUUUCAAAAAUCUAUCCUGGAGAAUAUGUAUGGUAAGGGAUGUAGACAAAGGAGGUAUGGAGGUAUGUUUAUUGGGGGGGGGGUGGAGGACACAUAAAUGACAUAGAAGUUUCCAGUUUGUAAUUGUCUAGGAUAAUUUUGCUAGUUAAGAGAUUAUAUUUUCAAUCUUCACAUUAUUUUGCAUUUUAAAAUAUUUUGCUAUUUACAAUAGUAUCAAACUAUACUAUGAUUCAUAGCAUAUUGAAUAAAGUUGGAUACUUUGUAUAAAGUUGGGUUUCUCUCUCUCUCUCUCUCUCUCUCUCUCUCUCUCUCUCUCUCUCUCUUUGCCAUACAGAUGAUCAAUCCUGGGGCCUUGCCCAUGCUAUGCAAGUGCCCUACCUUGAGCUAUUCCCCUAGCCCUUGCUUUGCCAUUUUUAUGGUUAGACAUAAGAAAACCUAAGAAGUUAAAAAUCACUGAUCCAAAAACAACAAAAAAGGAUUUUACCCACUCAGACUUUAACUAAAGUCAUAGACCAAAAAAAUAAUAUCUUUAUUUCUUGCUAAUUUUUGUCCAGUAAGUUUCACAUAUUUUUGAUUAAUUUAUUGGUGGCAAAAUAUUCCUUAGAACACUUACCAUAUGCACUCCCAUUUUCCAACUAUUAUGAUAAACAACAAACUAAACACACUUCACCAGAAAUAAUGAGAAGAUGUUGAUGAAACAUCUAUGAAGCAUCAGUAGCUUUCAAUGUGAACCAGAAAAAAAAAAUGCCCUAUAGUGCUAAGUAAAUGAGCUAAAAAAUACACAUAUAAACAAACAAAUAAGUAAACAGCAGGGACCAGGGCAGAAGAGAGUUACAAUCGAGUUUUUCAGUGUCUUCAGUGUCUUCCAACCUUCUGAAGACCCCAGUUUUUACUGGAGAAUCACUAUCUUUGGUGUACCAUUUCUUAGAGGUCAGGAAGGGUACAUGGCUGGGGAUUCAAAUUGUACUUAAUUGAAAAAAUUAUCUUUGUUUGGUUCAACUGCUAUACUCAUCAUUUAAAAAAUAAUCCACAUGCUCAUAAAGCAAUCAUGACAUUAUUUUUACAGCACUCAUUUUUUGAUUUAUUUUAUUUAUAAUUUCUCUAAAUAUAAUAAUAUAGUGAUGCAGAUGAUAGUUUGUUGAGUACUUCCUAUGAGCCAGGAUCUAGCUAGUGCUUUUCAUAUGUAAUCUCAAUUAAUUCUUACAACAACAAUACUACAAAGUAGAUACUAUUAUUUUCUUAUUUGAUGGAGGAGUAAUUUGCCUCAGGCUUUCUGAUUAGUGAGUGGCAGAAUCAAACCGAGAAUAGGACUCAAAUCAGGCACAGUCUAACAAGGCCACUAAAAACUACUGCCUCCCUGAAAGAACUGUUCAUAUCCUAUAUACUUUUUGUUGGUGUGAUUAGAACAUGCCUUUCAUAAAAUAAAAUAAAAGGAAAA